AGGGGUAUAGUUCAGUGGUAAAGCAUUUGACUGCAGAUCAAAAGGACCCUGGUUUAAAUCCAGGUUCCCCCU